rnacentral:sRNA from 1 species
AAAUAAACCUGAUAGAACGAAAAGCCCGGAACGAGGUACGAGUGAGGACUUGAAGUGAUAGCAGGACUAUCG